rnacentral:tRNA from 1 species
GGGUGCACAUGUACCGAGGGGGCGAGAAUCUUUUGCAAGGAUUCUGUGACAGGUUCAAUUCCUGUUGUAUCCACCA